rnacentral:lncRNA from 1 species
CCUUGGUGCCUUCAGCCGUCACUGGUGGCCUGCAGCGUCCGCGUUACUGCUUCAGGUAUGUGAGAAGAGCAGGGGAGGCGUGUGGGCCUGACCCUGAGUUGAGAAGCCGGUGGGCUCCAGGCCGGGCCUGCCUGUGCCUGUCUGGACUUUGCCUCUCUCCUCCAGCCGCUGGGCGGCCUGCUCUUUUUUAGUUUUGAUAGAGACAGGGCUUCACCACAUUGCCCAGGCUGGUCUUGAAGUCCUCAGCUGAAGCAGUCCACCCGCCUUGGCCUCC